rnacentral:rRNA from 1 species
UACAGAGGGGGCAAGCGUUGUUCGGAAUUACUGGGCGUAAAGGGCGCGUAGGCGGCCGCCUAAGUCAGACGUGAAAUCCCUCGGCUCAACCGGGGAACUGCGUCUGAUACUGGGCGGCUUGAAUUCGGGAGAGGGAUGCGGAAUUCCAGGUGUAGCGGUGAAAUGCGUAGAUAUCUGGAGGAACACCGGUGGCGAAGGCGGCAUCCUGGACCGAGAUUGACGCUGAGGCGCGAAAGCUAGGGGAGCGAACGGG